UUUGGCUCCCAAAAGUUCAAAAAGACAUUGGACUCAGAGUAGGAGACAGACGUUAACUUGGUCUUCGCUAUACAUCAUUCUGUGAAAUCUUAAAAAUUCUGCAUUCAUAGUUUAUCUUAUUUCGAAGUAAGUGGAGUGUCCAUUCAUCAUUUUCCCCAUCGCCGUUAAUGUUUGGUAGAAGGUAAGGCCGUGAGUGGCCUGAUGUGUCCCCUGGGACAUCAGGACUUAAUGCUGUAUGUUGUCCACGCGUGAAUGGUGGAGCCAGAGGUGACAACAUUUACGUGGGAAGCCAAGUCUCUGCAGCAGCUUCCAGCACUGACCAGGGCAUCCACACUUGUGUACAACCCGGUAGAAGCAUCAACCGUAUUUUUGAGGAUAACCAUGAGGAACCCAUUUCCCCAGGGAUAGAAAUCAGCAAAGAGAUUGGGCAAAAAAAAGACUCACUUGAAGGGCUGCCCCAGUCUCCACGUCAAGGUCAAAAGUCAAGGAGGAUUUAGUUACAAUACCCAGAAAGGCACCUACCUCCCAGGAGAAGGCUUCUGUAAUCAUGUGAGAAAGUAAGAGCAGAAAGAAACAAAUUUGUUUAAAUUAGAUGCUGAUACAAGCCCCACAGAGGCUCUCGCGAUUUGCCAUUUAAAACAGAAAGACAAAAAAAAAAAAAAAAUUAAAAAAACAAAAACAAAAACAGAAAGAAGGAAGAGGGCGGGCCGUGCUGACUUCCUUCAAGACUCAGCAAGCUGGACUGAGGCAGAAAUCGCCCAUAAGGACUUCUGGUCUCCGAUGUCAGGGAACACACGUGUGGGUCCUGACUCUCAGCCUUGUCUGACCCUCACUGCACGUGGAAAGCAGCCCGGCGUCUGCUGGUGCGCAGGUGCUGAGCAGGUCUCAGCCUCCGUGGACUCACUGGUAACACAGACAAGGCCUGUAAGAACCCGGCUUGUUCCAGCCCAAUCCUGGUGCCAACAGGAGCAUGGAGACUCCUCACGGGGCCACUCAGAACUCCCACUUGGUGAAGAAAACCUUCCCGAAUGUUCCACACGCCAGGAGAGGGGCCCUGCGGCUGCGUCUUCAUGUAUCAGGUUAGCUGGCAGCUCAUUUCCAGUCCUGGAAACAAAUGAUGGACACAAAUGACAUCACCGAAUACGGGUACCAGAACCAUCAGAAGUUUUCUGCAUUACAUUGAAUCUGGCUUGAAGCCUUUGAGAUAUGAGAUCUGCCCAAUAUCCGUCAUCAUGAGGGACCCACAGGUAGAGAUCAGGGCAGGUGAGCUCACGAACUUAGAGAAAAGACAUCUAGCUGCCAAGGCAGCGUUGUAAAUCCAGCUACUCAUUGCUCAAGCACAAGCCUUCCUUCAAGACCGGCAACUCCUCUCUCCUCACAGCCCGCAAAGAGGCAGGAUUGUUCUGCUGCAGCUCCAGUAUGUCUGCUUUUGAGACCCUCUCCACCAGAAUCCUCGGGGUACCCUGGCAUGUCCUCAUCUAGACAACUGGAUAAUGCGCAAACAUCAUGUUCUGCCAAGAGUUUAGAAGUAGACGGGGGUUAGAGAUGUCUCUCCACCUUGCUACCAAGUCAGGUCCCUUUGGGGACAGGAAGUGAAGAGCUAUUAGUGUUUACAACUGGACAACAGGCAUAAACCAAAACUGUGCAGGCAGAGAAGGUCCUACGUCACUGCCUUCAUGAGGGAAAUUGAUCUCAGCAAAACCUGGCUACACUUGCAGACACUUGACGGCAAACAAAACAGACAGAACUUGUUAGGGGUAAUCUCUCGGCAAGUCUUUCUGAAGAAAGUUCCAGGCAGCGACCCUGCUCACUCCAUCCUGGGAAGUCUCUGGGGUCCCCUAGAGUCCCCAGUAUCACGCUUUUUCGCUGCUGGAGCAUUUGUUUUAAGAGAUUCUGCGUGCUGCCCAGAAGUGAGCUGGACCUUCAUUCGUGUGUAUGUUCAUUCAUUCCCACAUUUAACAGGUAUGUAUUGAGUGCCCAAAGCCCGCUGCGUCCUGGUCUAGGUGCUUUUCAUACCUCAGGGAGCAAAGAACAAGAACCCUGCCCUCUGCCACUUGGCAUCAUGGCCAUCCUAGUGGGUGGUGAGGAUGAUAAGAGAGGCAAGACAUUUCAGGCAAGAAGAAGAGCACAGGCUAGAGGCAAGAGUCAGAAGACAGCCUGGCAGGUCCCAGGAAAGAACUGCAAACUCUUCAAAAGUGCUGGAAGGUAACCAACAAGGUGAGGGGCAGCUGGGUGUCGGGAGGCGGGGUGGUCUCAUCAAAAGGCUCUGGGUGCUCCUGGGCUGGCCAUGGCUCUUACAUCUAAUGUUCAAAUAUUUGUUGAAAUAAAGUAAAAAAGCUACGACACAUCAUUCAAAUUUUGAGAGGUAUAGUAGUUCUUGCAAAAAUUAGGAGUAUUUGGGAAUUUGGUAGUUUUUUGGUUUUGUUUUGUCUUGUUUUUUUGGUUGCACCCAUGGCAUGCUAAAGUUCCCGGGGCCAGAGAUCGAAUCCACACCACAGCAACAAUCUGAUCUACAACUGUGACAAUGCUGGAUCCUUAACCUGCUGAGCCACCAGGGAACUCCCUGGUAGUUUUUUUGAUGAAUGCAAGAAGGAAUGAGUGACAUAAGGAAUUAGAACAGUUGGAUUUGAAUUUUCACAUGAUGAUUAUUGUGUCCGUUGAGAAAGUAGAUUUGGAUAGAAACACAUCAGAAAGGAGGUGACCAGGUAAGAAGGGAGCCCCAGGAAGGAAUGAUAAGGGUGAGAAUCAGGGGCCAGUGUUGGCCUGGGGACUCCACUUAAGGGAGCCCCAGCAAAGCACCCACUGGAACUUAAGCCAACACUGCUCCCUGGAGUUGUGCGGUGGGCUGGCCUUGAGGGUGAACUACAGCAGGGACAGUGGAAAUGAAAAGUGGGAGCAAGUUAAAAGGUAUUUGGGUGAUUAAAACAGACUGGGUCCGCUGACUAGCUGUUAUUUAUUUAUUUUUUUCGUAAAGUUUAGGGCUAAUGACAGAAGUACUAAAAAUCACUCACAGCUUUCCCUAAAAUUUUAUUUGAGUGACCAUAGUGUCAAUUUGUGGGUUAACUUUAUCAAAUCAUAGAACACAGACACAACUUCGAAAAACUGAAAAGGCAUUUUUUCCACUUGUUAUUUACUGAAAGGCUAAUAAACACGAAGGCUGUUUCUAUAUCUGUCUCUGCCAGCUGAGUCCAAUGGACAAUUUAUUUCCUCCCUGAAGAGUCUGAAUUUACCAUGAUUUGCCCCUGGCUAUUCCCACUGUCCUUUCUUUACCUAAAAAUUCACAUAUACUUACUAUUUUGUCAUGCAUUGCUUUCUAAUCAUUUCUUGCUAGCUGUGGUCAAGUACCCAACAUUUCUCUUAUAAUCACCAUGAUGGUUGUAAGGUUAGAGGUUAGAGGUCAGAGGUAGGUUAAUGUAAGGUGGGUGAGGCCAUGAAAUUAAUGUAAUUAAUCUCAUCAUUCAAGUGUUGCAAGAGCAAAACCUUCGUCCUCAGAAAAAUCUUUAAUGUUUAAAAUUGAUAUUUUCUGUCAAGCGAUUUUUGAAAUGUCUUCGUGUAAAAAUUAAGGUGUUAGAAAAGAGAGUAAAUGUCUUCUCAUCUUUAGGAUUUAGCAUUAGGAUGAUAAAAAGUCACUGAUCUGUUCUUUUGGGGGCCGUUUAAUUUUUUCAUCUCUAAAGUUUAUUGCAAGUUUGUAAGAUUUCAUGUUUCUCAGUUUCUAUUUUCAAUGUGUGGAUGUUAUUUCUAUAUUUGUUAAAAAUGUGUCUGCAUUUUGCACAUUUCUAAGAUGAUCUGCAGGUGUGAAGUUUCUGUUCAGAUUUUUAAGUAAGUUGGUUUUGAAAAAUCUUAUCUUUACAUUGGAAACGCUAAGGUGCUGGGGGCUGAUUUUAGUUUUCAGAAAGACUGGCUUGGUUUUUAAUGUCUUAUUCAUUUUAAAAGUAAAUUUAAAAUGUUUCUUGAAAGUCUUACUAAUAAAGUUCUUUGGCUGUGCUUGAGGUCAUGAUUUGGAAUCUUUAGCAAGAUGAAGGGACUGUAAACCAGGUGACCCAAUAAAUUUGGCUAGGAAUUAAAAAGGAUCACUUAUUUUUUAGCCAUUACUGAGAUUUCUUGGAAGAAUAAUUUUGGAUCAGGCAAAGAUGGGGGGGAGCAAAUUAAUCAUAUUUGCUGAAAACUGACUUUGUACUUGAAAUGCGUGUAUUGUUACUCCUAGGUUUGGGUUUCAUCGAGGGGACCCAGGCAACAAGAAAACUCUCUUGGACAGGAGCAUGGCAGGUCAAGGUUAGCUCAUGGACAUAAAGGUCAUCUGAUUGCAGCAUCCAUCACAUCAGAGUUGGUACCGGUGACCUCCUCUUCUCAAGGUCCCUUCCUCACUGAAGCUUCCCAAGCUUUCCUCCUGAAACUGAGCAUGCAGUAAAAGCACAGUCUAAAACAAGAGGGUCGCUAUUUGGUCAAGAAUGUUUAAGCAACUCUGCAACUCCACUAGAAUGCUAAUAGGCUAAUUUUGAUUUCACGCCCAGAAUCAUUCAGUUAACCCAACUGCACUGGACUGAUAGAGCGGAAGCAGAAGCCAAGACAGCAGGAAAAGGACUGGGAGUCAGAUAAUACAUCUUGGUUCAGUCCCAGCCCUGUUGACUUAUGGUAUCGACCUUUCUGAUCUCUGCUUCCUUAUCCUGAGAAUGGAUCAGCCACUGCAACUCAGGAAAGAGGUCAAGCCUGAAAACCACUGGCAGGGGUCCACAAUCUAUUUAUAAAAAUCCAGAAAGCCACCUCAUGAACUUCACCUUGAAUGGGCUUUUUCUACCUUCGUGGUGAGUCUCGUGUUUGAUGGUGAGCCCCUUGAGGACGUGUCUCCUGGCUGGGUUGUAAUCAUCCACACCACCCGCAUUUUGCCUCAUGUUUAGAAUAACAAACUCACAGAACCUCAGAAAAGCCUGAAGCCAUCAAUCACCAAUCAGAUCCUUCACACUUUACAAUAUUCUUGUCCAAUGAUCAACGUGGCGGUUAAUUUUACAUGUCAACUCGGCUAGACCCUGGUACCAGUUUUGGCCAAAUAUCAGUCUAGAUGUUACUGUGAAUGUAGCGUUUAAGUGAGAUUAGCAUUAAGCCAGUUGACUUUGAAUAAAGCAGUAAUAAUCUGAGUAGGCUUCAUCCAGCUGGGUCUUAAAGGGAAAGACUGAGGUGCCACAUGAAAGAAGGAGUUCUGCCUCCAGACGGCCUUUGGAGUCAAGCCAGAGACAUCACUUUUUCCUUGAGCUCCCAGACUGCCAGCCUACCCUGUAGACUUUAGACGUGCCAGCCUCCAUACUGCAUGGAAAACCCCGCCUCAUACAACCAUGUCGCGGCCUCUUAAGUGUUGUCAAGUGAUCAGGGGUGUGUUGGAGGUUGGCUUUUGCAGCACCAGGGUCCUGGGACUGAAUCCCAUCUCAACAAGGUACUAACUGUGGGACUUCGUGCUGUGGCACAGUAGGUUCAGGAUCUGACUGCAGCAGCUCAGGUCACUGAGGCAGCACAGGUUCAAUCCCCAGCCCAGGACAGUGGGUUAAGGAUCUGGCUGCAUCCGUGCAGCUCAGAGUCAGUCCCUGGCCCAGGAACUUCCAAAUGCUGUGAGUGUAGCCAAUGUAAAACAAAAGCUGCUGUGAUUUUGAGCAAGUUACUUAGACUUUUCAGAGCCCAGCUCCCCAUCUAUGAAAUAUGUGUAAUACCAACUGCCUUGACAGAACGUCUUGUAAAUUCCAAAUGAUACAGACAAAGCACUCAUAACAUAGACGGUUCUCAGCAAAUAACCAUUAUUUUGCUUUGAUGAACUAAAUGCAAGUCCUGUUAUUAACUGUACUAGUAGCUAAAGGCAAGGCUGGUUUGAACUCCUCCACUGAAUUCAUCUUUCUUGGCCAGAAACUGACUGCAUACUUCACAGUUUAGGAUUAACUUUUAUUGCCAUGUUGCCAUGCAGGCUGCACAGAGAUGCCUCCAGAAUUGAGUCAGCUUUCUUUUUUUCUGAGCCAGCAAAGAGAGACCUCUUUGAGCACGGCUCUCCGUGGCUGGGAAGAGCCAUGACUGGCAAGCAGAACCACACCUGAAUGACUAAAAAAAUGGGAGAUAAUGGUUUAAACUGCUGACUAGCCUCAUGGAAUUGACUUAAAAGCAAAUAGUGUAGGAACACACAGAGAAUCUGCCUAAGCACAGGUUCUUCCCAUUAAUCAGAUUCCCAAAUGAAUCAAAAAGAAAUUUAAGUGAUAAUCACUAGCCUAAGAUGUAUGAGCAUCAUAGGAUUUUUUUUUUUUUUUAAUGUGAGGGCUUCCAUUUUUUUCUAAAGAGCAUAACCACCAAAUAGAUAAUUGUUUUCUGAAUGUAAGUAUUAGGGGUUUCAAGGGCAUAUCAUUUGGGAUAUGAAGUCAUAACAAAUUAUGAGAGACAAUUAUUAAAAGGAAAAACAAGCUUUUGUGAAAUUGAAUGCUUUAUAGUUCUCUUUUAAUUUGAUGUGAUAAUGCUGUCAGAAAGAUAUAUUUCAAUCUCUUGUUACCUAAAUUCAUACUAUAAUAUUUUCCACAAAUUUUCUUUCCUUCCUGGGUCCCUAACUACUUCAGACAGGACAUUGGGACUUUCUGAUUUGUUAGUCAGUAUCUAAAGUCAAUAUUUCCAAGAAGAGACUCAGGAACAGCUUUCAAGGAAGAUUUGAUCACCUCUCCUUAAACCACACUUUCAAAUUGCUCACAUGGAACUGCAGGCCACCAACGAGACCACAUGUUCAACAGUCUAGACGGCAGACAUGACUUUAAAAGGAGGAAGAGGGAGCUCCUGUGAGGCUCAGUGGGUUAUGGACCUAAUAGAAUCCGUGAGGAGCUCCACAGGUUCCUGGCUCAGUGGGUUCAGGAUCCAGCGUUGCUGGGAGCUUCGGUGCAGGUUGCAGACAUGGCUGGGAUCCAGCAUUGCUGUGGCUGUGGUGGAGGCCGGCAGCUGCAGCUCAGAUUCAACCCGUAGCCCGGGAACUUCCAUAUACCACAGGCGUGGCCCUAAAGAGACAAAAAAAUAAAAAAUAAAAUGAGGAAGAGUCACACGCAAAGAAUCCAUGACUAAGGAUAAUUUGGUUACGCGAAAUUAAUUUGGUUAGCCAAAGAAUUAACUACCAAGCCACACUGAAAUUUGCGGUGAGAACCCGUUAGACAUCCAGCUCUGGGCCAGGGGUCCCUCCUUCAACAGCAGAGGCUGCUGUCACCAGCUGUUGACCCACGGCCUGUGGCAGUCUGACUAAUCACCAAGAGCUGAAGUCGCCCAGAGACUCUCAGGGAACUUUGGAAAAUAUUUUCUUUGGGAACAAAAGUCAUACAAAUACUGAUAAAAACUUAUACUGGAAGCCACAGUCAGUCUCAUUCAAACAAUCUUCCUAUGAAACAUACACAUAUAAACACACACUCUACUAGUUAACAUUUGCUGCCAUAGUCUACCACUUCUGGGGGAACAUGGUAAGAAAUGAUACCCUUUUUUGUUGAUUUUAUUUUCUUUUUACACUUUGUGUUGAUCUUUAAAAAUAACUAGAAACUCUUCCAUACAUGGAGUUUUAACAUCCAUCAAUCCCACGUUAAAAGAGUUUAUUCAGCUUUAACAUUUAUCAUUUUAACUUCUUCCUGUUUACAUGGUUAUUUAGCAGCACUUCUCUAGAGACGUUUCUUUUUUUUUUGUUUUGGAUCUGUCAACAACAUCGGAUAAGACCUUUUUCCUCUCUGACCCUGUGUGGGAGUUCAUAGGAUCAGGGAAGCCAUAUGUCAGACCCCAGUUCUCUAGACUGACCUUAAGCCAUCAGCAUAAUAUUGUGGCUUCUCAUAUCCUUAUGAUUAUUCCGGAACAAAAUCAUCUUUCUUUGCUUAAGUUUGUAGGGCAUUCGAUGUGUUGGUUUUUGCCCUGUCAUUUGAAGCCUGUUAUCUGCUUAUUCUUGGGAGCCAUCUCAGCAAUUAGCUCUCAUUUUAGGGAAAAAGAAAGAAAUUGUGCAGUAAUAUUUCAUUUUGUCAUCACAGAUAACAGAUGGCAAAAGAGCUGUGGCCUCAUCAUAUAUAAAAAGAAUAGUUUCUCAGGAUGUUCAUUUAAAAAUAAUAUUAGGAGCUCCCAUUGUGGCUUAGCUAUAACAAACCUGCCUAGGAUCCAUGAGGA